rnacentral:rRNA from 1 species
UGGGGAAUAUUGGACAAUGGGCGAAAGCCUGAUCCAGCCAUGCCGCGUGUGUGAAGAAGGUCUUCGGAUUGUAAAGCACUUUAAGUUGGGAGGAAGGGCAGUAAGUUAAUACCUUGCUGUUUUGACGUUACCGACAGAAUAAGCACCGGCUAACUCUGUGCCAGCAGCCGCGGUAAUACAGAGGGUGCAAGCGUUAAUCGGAAUUACUGGGCGUAAAGCGCGCGUAGGUGGUUUGUUAAGUUGGAUGUGAAAGCCCCGGGCUCAACCUGGGAACUGCAUCCAAAACUGGCAGGCUAGAGUACGGUAGAGGGUGGUGGAAUUUCCUGUGUAGCGGUGAAAUGCGUAGAUAUAGGAAGGAACACCAGUGGCGAAGGCGACCACCUGGACUAAUACUGACACUGAGGUGCGAAAGCGUGGGGAGCAAACA